rnacentral:rRNA from 1 species
AGUGAACGCUGGCGGUAGGCCUAACACAUGCAAGUCGAACGGCAGCACAGUAAGAGCUUGCUCUUACGGGUGGCGAGUGGCGGACGGGUGAGGAAUACAUCGGAAUCUACUUUUUCGUGGGGGAUAACGUAGGGAAACUUACGCUAAUACCGCAUACGACCUACGGGUGAAAGCAGGGGAUCUUCGGACCUUGCGCGAUUGAAUGAGCCGAUGUCGGAUUAGCUAGUUGGCGGGGUAAAGGCCCACCAAGGCGACGAUCCGUAGCUGGUCUGAGAGGAUGAUCAGCCACACUGGAACUGAGACACGGUCCAGACUCCUACGGGAGGCAGCAGUGGGGAAUAUUGGACAAUGGGCGCAAGCUUGAUCCAGCCAUACCGCGUGGGUGAAGAAGGCCUUCGGGUUGUAAAGCCCUUUUGUUGGGAAAGAAAAGCAGCAGGUUAAUACCCCGCUGUUCUGACGGUACCCAAAGAAUAGGCACCGGCUAACUUCGUG